AGCCCACUCUAGCCCAAUCACGUCACAAUGCAACUCAAUUAAGUCAGAACCUACUUCCCUACCAAAACCAAAACAUUCUAACAACUUAGUAUAGGCGAUAGAAAAGACUAUUCGGCGCUAUAGAGAACAUGUACCGUAAGGGAAAGAUGAAAUAACAAUGAAAAACAAAGCAACAAACAGCAAAGAUUAACCCUUGUACCUUUUGCAUCAUGAUUUAGCAAGAACAACCAAGCAAAGCGAACUUAAGCUUGUCACCCCGAAACCCAAGCGAGCUACUUACAAGCAGCUACCUGAGCGAACCCGUCUCUGUUGCAAAAGAGUGGGAUGACUUGUCAGUAGAGGUGAAAAGCCAACCGAGCUGGGUGAUAGCUGGUUGCCUGUGAAACGAAUUUAAGUUCCCCCUUGACUCUCCUCAAUGGCAAUUUAAUCCUAACCCCUAUGAACGAGUCAAGAGCAACUUAAAGGGGGUACAGCCCCUUUAAAAAAGAACACAACCUCCUAUAGCGGAUAACCCCCUCCCCCCUACGAUACACCUCCCCACCGUGGGCCUUAAAGCAGCCAUCAAUAAAGAAUGCGUCAAAGCUCAGCACAUAAAAAUCCGAAAAUCAACGUGACUCCCUCACCCCUAACAGGCCAACCUAUGUACAAUAGGAGCAUUAAUGCUAAAAUAAGUAACUAGGUUCACACCCCCUCUUAAGCGCAAACUUACAUCCUACAUUAUUAACAGAACCCCUAACCAAUACUACUAAACACCAACAAGACCCUGUAUUAAAAUACCCAAAUACUGUUAAUCCAACCCAGGAGCGCCUACUAGAAAGAUUAAAAUCUGUAAAAGGAACUAGGCAACUUCAGGGCCCGACUGUUUACCAAAAACAUAGCCUUCAGCCAAACAAGUAUUGAAGGUGAUGCCUGCCCAGUGACAUAAUGUUUAACGGCCGCGGUAUCCUAACCGUGCGAAGGUAGCGCAAUCAAUUGUCUCAUAAAUUGAGACCUGUAUGAAUGGCUAAACGAGGCCCUAACUGUCUCUUACAGAUAAUCAGUGAAAUUGAUCUUCCCGUGCAAAAGCAGGAAUGAACCCAUAAGACGAGAAGACCCUGUGGAACUUAAAAAUCAAUGACCACCCCAUACAAACUACUAACCUACCAGGCUUAACUAUCCUACACACUGGCCCACAUUUUUUGGUUGGGGCGACCUUGGAGAAAAGCAAACCCUCCAAAAAUAAGACCACCCGUCUUGACCUAGAGCAACCUCUCAACGUGCUAACAGCAACCAGACCCAAUAUAAUUGACCAAUGGACCAAGCUACCCCAGGGAUAACAGCGCAAUCUCCUUCAAGAGCCCAUAUCGACAAGGAGGUUUACGACCUCGAUGUUGGAUCAGGACAUCCUAAUGGUGCAGCCGCUAUUAAGGGUUCGUUUGUUCAACGAUUAACAGUCCUACGUGAUCUGAGUUCAGACCGGAGCAAUCCAGGUCGGUUUCUAUCUAUGCUUCUACUUUCCCCAGUACGAAAGGACCGGUAAAGUGGGGCCAAUACCAUAGGCACGCCUCCCUUCAAAGUAAUGAACCCAACUAAAUUACAAAAGAAGCACUACCUACACUUUUAUCAGCCCUAGAAAAGGACA
rnacentral:rRNA from 1 species